UUAUUUAUUUAAUCACAUUCAAAUAAAUAAUGUCCUAUUACAACUACUAGUCCAAAGUUUAAUGAAUUUAGUAGCAUAUAAUAUCCCCUCUAUUCGUUUUCAUAAAACAAAUCAAUAUCAAAACAUUUUUCAAAUAUUGGAGAUAUAUAUAACUACUAAUUGUAUUCAUUAUAGUUUAGUAGCAUAUGAUACUCCCACUAUUUGUUUUAAGAAAAACAAAUCAAUAUCAAAAACGAAUUUUUCAAAUAUUGGAAGUAACUAAUACUAUUAAGGUUUUUGCAUUCCUUUGAAAUUGGACUUUAUAGUUAUCUUAGGCUCUUGGAUGACCAUGGACUUAUAAGGUUAUUGCAACAACGAGCCAACAUUGUUGAAUAUAAACUCCGGGAGGUUGUGUCAAUUUAAUUACGUGCUUUUCAAUCCAAUUAAAACAUUUUCAUUGAGCCAUUAGAAAUGAAAGGCAAUCAUUCAUUGCUAAUUAGGCAUUGGACCCAUUUAAUCUUUAAUCUCAUGUCAAAACCCUCUUUUAGUUAUGUCUCCUUACCAAUAGUUAAAGAAACUCUAGUCUAGCACUAGAGGGAAUCAACUAACGAAUAGAGAUUAAGAAGUAAUAAGAAUUACAAACCGAUUUGUACAAAUUCCUAUAAAUUACACAUACUAAAAGGGGAGAGAUAGAUUAACGUCAAACGUGACAAGGUCCAAUUAAACAGUAAUUAAAACACAUUCCCAAGGUUCAAACAAUUUGAUUUUAGCGCCUUAUCUCAUAGCUCAAUUAUCGUUUAAGGCAUAAGUCCAAAGUCAUCCAUUUUCUAACUACUUAAUCAUAUUAAAUAAUCAAAAUGGAAUGCAACAUGAACAUUUAGAUUUAGUGCAUAUGGGCAUAAUAGUAUUAUGAGUUUAAACAACUAACAAAAUUAAAAUCAAAUAUUUUAACUUUCUAGUUAGUAGGGGCCUAAAUGCAAAUAUGAAAAAGUUAGGGGUUAAACCGUAAAUACUCAAAAGUAAAUAUCAACUUUUCAAAGAAUACAAAAUAGCCCCACAAGUGGAUAAAUCCACUAGGGAGGGCGGCCACAUUAAGGGGAUGGGAGGUUUCUUACACACUCUUACACAACAUGCAUCAAAAACCACAUUAUGUAGAAAAAAUUAAGUUUUGCUUGUCACUUGGUUUUGCUUCAAAGACUUUAGGGAAAAGGUGAUGGAAAUCCUCCUAGUCAAGUCUAGGGUUUUAUAAAUAUAUGAUAUGGUUAUGGAUGGUAUGAACAUCAUCCAAAACCACAAAACAAUGCAUGAAAACCAAAUAAAACCAUUUUUACCUAAAACCAAACCAUGAACACCAAGAACAAAACCAUGAACACAUUUUCAAGAUUUGUAUAUUCUUGGUGAUUUUUCAAACCCAAAAAUAAAAGUGACAAGAACCCUUUUUCAAGCUUUAAAAGGAAGUGUGAGUGGUUUACAAUAAAACACAAACACAACCCAAAACCACCCCCAAAACCGUGCCCUCCCUUUUGGUUCAAAACCCCAAAAUUUUGUUCAUGACUUAUUCUUCAUUCAUGCAUCUAAAACACCUUUUUACAUGCAUAUCUUUUUUUCAACUCUUGAUUUAUAUUUUUCAACCAUUGAAAAAACAAAAGAUAAACAUACUUUAAAUGAAGAAAUAAUAUGUCAAACUAGUUCUAAACUCAUUUUUCAUUCAUGCAUACAAAACAUUUUUGCAUACAUAUCUUUCUCAACUAUUGACUAACAUUUUUCAACUAUUGAAAAACAAAAGAUAAACAUAUUUUGAAUGAAGCAAUAAUUAUGUCAUACAUAAUAUUAAUACCCAUAUGCAUAAAAUCCAAAAGGACACAUUAUACAUAAACCUUUGGCUCUGAUACCACUUGAAGGGAAAAUUAUGAGUUUUCACAUAUAGGGAUUUCAAAAUGACUAUCAUGCAUAUACAAAUCAAAUUUAAUAUACGAAAGCAGCAUAAGCAUUUAUAACAAAUUAUCAAAGGUAUAGUCAUGCAAAUCCCCUUCAAGGUUUAUAGGUUUAUAUAUAAUGCAUCAAAACAAUUUUAGAGAAGAACAAAGUGCAGGUUUAGUCUAAUACCUCUUGAUCUAGACUUGAGACCAAGGAUGGACCACCUCCA
rnacentral:lncRNA from 1 species